rnacentral:rRNA from 1 species
GGGUGAGUAAUAUAUCGGAACGUCGCCCAGUCGGUGGGGAUAACGUAGCGAAAGUUACGCUAAUACCGCAUACGAUCUACGGAUGAAAGCGGGGGACUCGCAAGAGCCUCGCGCGAUUGGAGCGGCCGAUAUCAGAUUAGGUAGUUGGUGGGGUAAAGGCUCACCAAGCCGACGAUCUGUAGCUGGUCUGAGAGGACGACCAGCCACACUGGGACUGAGACACGGCCCAGACUCCUACGGGAGGCAGCAGUGGGGAAUUUUGGACAAUGGGGCAACCCUGAUCCAGCCAUGUCGCGUGAGUGAUGAAGGCCUUAGGGUUGUAAAGCUCUUUUGUCCGGGAAGAUAAUGACUGUACCGGAAGAAUAAGCCCCGGCUAACUUCGUG